rnacentral:lncRNA from 1 species
AAAAAAAUCAGUGAUGAAAUGAAUACAUUGUGAAGCAUUGCGACUGAUACAUAAAAAUGAGAAAUAAGAAAUAAACCCUGAUACCAACAAACCUCACAAUAAUUUACAAUUCACACACAAUCAUUUCUAAUUCAGUGAUUAUGUGAAACUCUGUUAGUAAAAUCAUUGCCAGCAGUACUGUGCUAACUGUGUGUGUGUGUGUGUGUGUCAUCAGGAGCAUCUGCUGAAGAGUGAGAUCAGUCGUCUGAAGACUCGUCUGUCUCAGCAGGAGCGGAUGUUGAGCAGAGCCGUCAAACACCUCAGAUCCAGCAACCAGCUCAAAGAGGGCAUGGAGCGCGUCAUCAUCGACCAGCGUAAGAGAGCAACACACACACACACACACUCACACUCAUGCAGAGUCAACCAACACUGAUGUGUGUGUCGUGUUUCUGCAGUGUCUCUGACUCACGGCGUGCUGAAGAAAGCCAGAGGAAACCUGGAGGACGUCCCACUGAAUGGCCAGUGACCAAUCAGCAGUCGGGGGGCGUGGCCUGUCAGCAGCAUUCAGGCAGAGGCUCAGUCUGCAGUGAAAACUCCUCCCACUGUGGCUGUUAGAAACUUCACUGACUCCAGGUCAGGACUGUUGAGUCCUUACAUCAUGGUUUUCUCUUUUAAUUUGGGUUCUUAAUUUAUUUCUCUUUUUGAGGUACGCUGACACCGUUCAGAAUUAUUUGCACAUAUACAGUGAGCAUUUAACCGUGUAAAAGGGAAUGUUUUUUAAUAGCGGAAGAGAUUUUCUCCUGUAAAUACUUUGAGCUUUAGUUUUAUACUGGUUUUAGACAGUCUCAUGUUAACUGCCGGUCUCCUGUGAUGCUGUAUUAUCCUGCUUAAGAUCUAAUAUUUUGAUGUAAAUGAAUGGUACAUGUACAUUUAAUGAGCGCAUGGUUUAAUGUAGCAGACUGUGUUUAAAGUAAAUGUUUAAACCCUCAUAAAACAGUCUCUCUGCUUUCAUGGUAAACCGGUUUGAAUUAGGCUGGACUAAUCAGCAUUAGAUUUUAUUCAACUACUCAACCUUUACAGCAAGACUUAAGAUAUUUAUAUUGGCAACAUGAGUGGUGAAACUUUAAAAAUCUUAUUUUGGAGGUUGAAUGAAUAAGAAACCUUAUAAAUUUCAUUUACAUACGAUUUAAGUCUUUUAUUAGUAAGCCUAUUAAAUUUGUCUAUGAAAAUUUUUUUAUUGGACAUUUUAAUGG